rnacentral:lncRNA from 1 species
UUCAUAUCAUAAUUUCCAGGAAAGAAAAGCCAUUCCAGCAACAUGGACUGGCUUGCUGCCAUUCCUGCUGCUGCCUCACCUUUCACUGUAAUAGUGCUGAGAGCAACAGGAUACUUGGUUUUGGAUACUUUGCCAUUAGCAAUACAGUGUUUGACAACAGCAAUACAAUAUUUGCUCAGCUCUAACCUUUCUAUAUCCUCUUUCUUCUUCUGAUAUUGUAAUAGUGGUCACUAAUAUAGGAAUCUGUAGCCACCAGAGAUGUCCCCGAGCUUGUUAUACUCUGUCCUCUUUUCCUAAACCACCCUUUCUCUUGCUUACUCAUCCUUCAAUGUUUAGAUCAAGCAUCUUCUCUGUGAAAAUUUUUCUGGCUCCAUGUUCUCCAGAAUGGAGUUAAUCACAUCCUCAUCUAGGCUGGAACUAUAUUUUGAGUGUAUUUCUAUUAUUAUACAUAUCCUAUUUCCUGAUAAAUAUAUGUUUGCAUUUGUUUUUUUACACCAAGAUAUGAGUACACUUUGCCUAGUACAUGGUGCUUAGUAAACCAGGAAUAGAAGGAAGAAAGGAAAUGAAACAAGAAAGAAUAGAAGAAAGGAGGCAAGGAAGGAGGAAGGGAAAAAAGGAAAAAAUAUUAUGGUUUCUUUUUCCUUUUUUUGCUCAAUGGGACCAUGACGAAAUAACCAACUUGUGGUAUGUUUGGAUCCUGGAAAUUAUGCCCCAAGUUGGGAAAAUGUCUGCUGUUUCCAUGGUUAAGAAACCAAAUGGAAGAAAUGCAUUUGACUUUUUUUUUGAAAAAUUGUUUGGGACAGGUAAAUUAGAUGACUUUAAGUAAGUAGUUGACACCUGGAAUAAGUAGAAAGAAUUAACUGCUACUGACCUAAGAGGGAAAGAUGAUCUUAAUAAUGAGAUUAUGAUCAUGAAAUUGGAAGGCCUCUGAAAUCAGACAAGCCUGCUGGAAUCUGAGCUUCACCCUUUGCCAGCUCUAUGACUUUGGGCAACUUACCAUCUACAGGCUUCUGUUUCCACAUUACAUGAAAUGAGCAUAAAAAUACUUACCUUAUAGUUGUUAUAUAGUCUACAUUAAAUGAGAUAACCACACCUAGCUCAAUGCUAGGCCCAGGUCAUUUGGAUGUUUAGAUAUUAGCUUCUUUUUCCAUGCAUAGCAAGUACUGACUUAAAUAUCUAUCUAUCUAUCUAUCUAUCUAUCUAUCUAUCUAUCUAUCUAACUGUCUGUCUAUCUAUAUUUUAGAACAUAUAUAUGUGUGUGUGUGUGUGUGUGUGUGUGUGUGUGUGUGUGUAUUCUCCCCAGGGAUCUGGGGAGGAACCAUGAUGGAAGUGGGACACUAGAUCAGGGUAAGUGGAAUUGGCCUGGGAGGUAAGUAGGAAAUGAGUUGUGAAAGGGUUUCUACCAGCUCUCACAUAUUCUGAUUUAUAAUUAGUCUGUUGGGAUUUUGUUUGGGAUAAGUCAACUCUCCAUACAGUGAAGAUUCCAGGGAAAACUGGUAAAAUACAGUUUCUCAUCCACGUAAUUUGAGGCCUGUAGAUUAUAGGCACCUCUGCAAGAUGACAGGAAGACUCGCUGAGGGCAAGGACCUUGUCCAAUUUAACAUUAAGUCCUAAGUGUGGAGCAGAGACUGGCACAGAGGUGGUCAGUGAGUUUCACUGGAAGAACAAAUUCAUGAAACCACACUUAAGACCCUGUCUGAGCCAAACUGCUGAAAUUUACAUCAACAGCAAAGCCCAGAACUCCUUGUAGAAUUUUGCUCUAAUGUCAUCUUUUUAAAACCUGCAUAAACAUCAAGCAAGAAACAAGUGGACUUUAUUUUUCUUGACUUUCGUCACAUUCCCAUUUUCUCUCAAUCUUAGGAAACUUUUUCAGCUUUGUGACUGAGAGACAGCCAGCCUUUCAGCUGGGUGAGCUUUCCAGUUGCAUGAGAAAGAGCUUCAUAAGAAACCACCUACACUCUUCCCAUCCAAAAAAAUAGAAAAAAAGAAAGAGAAGAAUAUAAAAAGAAUUGCUUCUCCUCCAAAAAUACAGCUCCUAGGUGCUGCUGAAAUGAGUGAGCAGGGUAAUUGAUGAGAGUUUGGGAGCUGGGAGAGCAGUGAGCUGAUGCUUGGAGCCUUGCCGCGAUCGGACACAGUAGGUUGAUUUUCCCCUCAACAUGCAGGACCAUACCUAACGAUUCCUUACAACAAAACAGAAUACAAAGUAAAGAGGAUUUGACACACAGCAAUUCCUACCAUCCUCUUGGCCCCCCAGCCCGGGAUAUUGAAGCCAAAGUUGAAUUUGAAAAGCACAUUUUCCCAAACUCCUAUUUUAAAAGCAGACACUAUCUUAAUGGCACAGUGAUAACAAUUAUAUUCAGUUAUUUUUUCUUCGAUCCUGCCAAAGAGAUGCUUGGGAAAAGCAAAGAUUUUUAACAUCUGGCUUGCCUGAACAGAAUUCGUACUUCAGUGAAGAAUGCUACAUUAUGAAGACUUCUCUUUCAAUUCUUUUAGUUUCUGGAUAUCAAUGAAGAUAUCACCACUAAUGAAAGUGGUAAAUCUGGGGAAGAUUACUCAGAGUGGCAAGAUUGCAACAUUUUUCCCAGGGAUUUUUAGGGACCCUCUCAACUAAACAAAUAGCAGUAAAGAAGAAUCACAUUUUAAAAUAUCCUUCUAAUGUACUCCAUUUUAAAUAUAUACACCUACUGUGUACCCAUGAAAAUUUUAAAAAAAAUUUUAAGUAUCCUUCCAGAGGUUUUGUGGAAAGGUGGGGUUUUAUUUUCUAAUAUCACAAAUAUUACUUGUUGAUUCAAGCCAGUCAUCUAGCCAGUUAUAGCAACUUCUCAAAGCUAUUUUAGGAAGAAAUUUUUGCUUCUUGUCAUCUUCCCACCAAAGAUAAGUUCUGGAGAAGUUCAUACGCUAUUAACUAUGACAAUAACUGAGACCUCAAUUUACAUUUUUCUCCUUGCUCCAAACUCAUUCCUGGGUCACCAGAAUAGACAUAGAUAUGAAUGUGUAGGCUCCAUGAGGACCACACCAGGCAGGAUACAAAAACACUGGAGUGUAUCAGGAGAAGUGAUUUGCCCUCCUCCUACCUGCCAAAGGUGGUGAUUUAGAAGUGAUUUAGGAGUAAGACUGGGGAGACUUCUUGAAGACAUCUUGGGAUAUUAGAGUCAUUCUAUUCACACCCUCGCUCCUUGAGAAAGGGGAUCAUUUGCCAUGGUCCCUCAUAGAGAGGAUCCCUAGAGACAAUCCCGCAAAGCUCAAGGGUACAUCUGAACAUAGGGACUGGCCCCAGUUUCUCGUUUGGAGUGUGCCAAGUGACAGAACCCAUUGGCACAUGCCAAGCCCCACGCAAAGGCCACCAGAGAGCUUUGGACAUAGGCAGAGGGCCUCAGAAAGGGGGGCAGAACAAGUCAGGAGAGGGCACAAAUCACCUCCCAGUUCUUCAAACACCCAAGGUGGUUGUAAUAGGGAGUCUAAGAUUCUUGGGGCCCGAGAGGCCCCAUAAGAUGGCUGACUGGCUGGUUGAAUUCUAAGCAAACUUCCGUUCCCUGGACACACAGGAAGCAAAGGGACUCAGUAGUAAUAUUAGUCUCAGGCUAAAGGGUCCCCUGUCCUGGACCCCAUGCUUUACAGGGUCCUGCCUUUGCCAACAAAUACAUUUACUAAAGAACACGCAUUGCUGCCAUUCUGGGUCUGAGAUCAGAGCUCAGAGCUGGCACAGACCAACCUAAAACUCUAAAUAUUUGCUCUCCCAGCUGACAUUAUGCAGGCCCCAGGGAAAUCUCCACUUGCAUUAGAUCCUGUAAAUAAAAGAUGUUAUAUGCAAAACUCUGAAGGUUUAUGGGCUGUGCUGCUACAGAGGCUGCUUUGGAGUGUGAAGAGGAUAGCAGUAUUGUUCAUAUUAUGCUUAAAUAUGUAUAUAUGUAGGUUUAGUUAUAUGCCUGAAGCAUAAUUCCUGUUCUUUACUAUGGCAAUUUGAUGGACAUUAAAUCCUAGAAUUGCAAAUAGUUUUUUUUUUAUAAAAUAGGCUUUUUAAUUUUAAUAAAUCUUGAAUAUUUGACAUGAAAUCUUAAUUAUUCAGAAAUGUAGGAAAAGUAAAUUUAUUUAUAUUUGUUUACUCCAAUUUAAAUUUUCUUAAUGCAUUCAAAUUGCAUAUAUUUUUAAUAUAAUUACAUUUAAUUUUUAAUCCAUUUGAUCACUGCUGACACAAGAAUACAAGUUAUAUAUGAAAAUAUUAAUUUUAUCAACACAAUUAGUGACUUUGCUAGAAAUGACCAAAAAAUUUUGAUUCUAGCAAGUAAGUACAUACUAAUUUCUGAAUUAUUACUCAUCCAAACAUUGCCAGCCCAUGAAGAGAAUGCCCAGGUACAUGCAAUACAAAUUAAAUUCAAUAGUCUUUGAUAUUUUGCUAAUUCUGGGCUUUAUAUAUAUUUUUCUAAUUUGUCCUCAUAAAGGUAUGUGUGUCAAGUGAGGAUGACAGGACAUAUUUCAUUUAGCAAUUUGUUAGUUUGAUUUAUAAUUCUAAAAAAUAUAUACUUAGGGAAUGGGGUCUCCAUUUGCUCCAUGCCUUGUAAAGUUUGGGUGGACAUGAAGGAAUCCCAUCUGUAGAGGCUCACGGUAGACCACUAUCCUGAGACUGGAUGAAGCCGAAGUGAAUGUCAAAAUGCCAUAGGCAUCCAAGGAUCACUGAGCCAGCAGGUGGUACCCAUCGACCAGACUGGGUGAUGAUAUUGGCAGCUGGAAUCAGCAGAGAGGUGACUGAAAUCAGCUAUUCCACUUCCACCUGCCCCACUGCCUGCACCAGUCAGCUCAUUCUUCCUCAUCUUCCCCUCUCCCUGCUGCCUUCACAAGAAGUCAAACAUGAGAUUCCUUCCCUGGAAAUUCACCAAGAGUUGAAUGCAGUUUGAAUUGCAGUUGAAUGCAGGGAGUGAAGGCAGUGUGAAGAGAGAAUUUUGAACUGGAUAGUAAUUGAAAUGAUAAUACUUGAAUUUGACUACAGAUAUAUUACAUUAAACCAGUGCUUAACAGAUUGCAGUAUUUUCCUGCUAUAGAACAUGAGUGGGAACUUAUAAAAGAAAAAUGGGCACCAAAAUGAAGUGUUUCAUGUUUGCUGAUAUUUGGGUUCUUCUAAUGCCUACCUUCUACUGGUAGCACCAUGCCAGAAAAUAGGACACUUUUUUAAUUGUUGAAAUCAUCAAAGAUAGAAGGAUUGGGAUUAUUCAUUUGUUGGCUUGAUGCAGUGACUUGUAAUUCUAGCUGCACGAUAGAAUAACUGAGAGCUUUAAAAAUGUUUCAAUUUCCAAUUUUGCCCCAUCCCAGAAUAAUUGAGUGUGAAUCUCUCUGUGUACAGAUUCUAUAUGUCUUAAAAGCAACCCUAGUGAUUCUAAUGAGAAAAUGGUGUUGUAACCCACAGGAGAUACCUGCUUGGUCAAUUGUUUGCCACUUUUGUGUCUGUGCUGUCAGAUAUUCACAGAUUCACCAGUUAAUGCUGUACUCUUUCCUCUUUCCCUAGCUGUGUUGUCAUGGUCCAAGACCCUGCCUCAGGUGCCUUGCACAAGAGCUUGUUUACUGAGGGGUAUGUGACAGCCACAUCAGUGACCUGGGGAAAUUAGCCUGUGUCAAAGCCAAUUAGUCACACUGUUUCCACUUUAAUAAAGGAGAUCAAUUAAGAGGAGAGCUGCACUGGAAAAUUCCCAGGCCUGCCAGACCUAGGGUGUUAUGUUGUUAGGCACCAAAUUCAUUCAUUCACUCAACAACCAUAUAUUUAGUGCCAGCUAUGUGCUGGACACUGGAAAUAAAAUGAUAAAUACAGAUACAACAACAACAACAACUUUCAAAGCACUCUCAGUUUUUUAUCACCUCGGAAAUCAAUUUCUCACCUGCCUAUUUUUUAAAAAAUUGCCUUCUCUCUUGCAUUGUUUCUGAUAUGGAAUCUUGUUAUCUUUAUCUUUACUCUUCUGUAUAUAGCAUGUGUUUUCUCUCAGACUGCUUUUAAGACUUUAAAAGCCCCUGAAUUUCAACGACUCUUUUCUAGACUUUGGAAUUUGAGAGGUCAGUAAUCUUUUUAGUUAGAAGAGUUACCAGUUUUAAUUGUGCAAGGUAAAAAACAAAAUGAAAGAUUUUUUGACACACAAAAAGUAGCAAAUAGAUCAUCUCAGUAUAAGGAAUUGCAAUUUAAAUUAAAUAAAUUUAGCUUCAUGAAAAACUAUACAAUUUUUUUCUCCUUUUGCUGCUUCCUAACAAGCAGUUGUUUGAAACCUUCCUUACUUCCUUUUUCCUUUCUUGUUUAAAGCUUGCUUUCUUUGUUUCUUUCUUUGUUUCUUUGUUUCUUUCUUUCUUCCUUUUUUCUUUUCUCUUUUUUCCCUUUCUUUUUCUUUCUAAUGAGCAGUACCUGUUCUCAUUCUCCAAAUAAAUAUUCUAUGAUCAAAUUACACUUCCAGCCAAGAUAGAGAAAAAGACCAGAUUUACCCUCUCACCUUAACCAAUAAAUUUUAGAAGUAUAUGAAACAAUGGUUUUCAGGACACUGGAUAUCAGACAAAAACAGUGAUUCCUGAAAGACAGGAGAUGAAUGAGGUGAGUCCUGUGAUUACCCCGGUUUAAUGUUUUGAGAGAGAGUCCAGUCUGUAGUGCAGGGGGGAAGAACCCAAGUCGAGCCUGGAAGACUCCCUGACUAGAAAUAGAGCUAAAAGUUGGGAGUGAAUAAAGUGACAAGAGUCACUGGAAUGUCUACCAGGCAAGAUAUCUGAAGAUCUGUAACUCCCUUUGAGUUUUAAGCUGAGCAAUAAUUAGCACAUGCAUGGAAGGAAACUACCUGAGGCCAGGAACAGAAUCACCUGGAAGGACAGAGGUAACAGUGUCUGGCAUUCACACAGAGUCAACAUAGUGCCUGUACCCAGAAAUCACACUGGAAAACCUCAUGUUUCAUAAGGCAUUUGGUAGAAUACUCAGAAAGGUCUUGUCUUGGUAAUGGGGGAUAAUUAGCCCUGUAAUACGAGGACUGCUCUCGUCCCAUUUAAUAAAUCAUGAAACCAAAACCUGAAAGGAUUGAACUAUUUUCACAUACAUUAACUGUGUCCCAGAACAAAGCUGAUUUGGUUUGGCUGUAUCUCCACCCAAAUCUCAUCUUGAACUGUAGUUCCCAUGAUCCCUACAUGUCAUGGGAGGGACCCAGUGGGAGGUAAUUUAAUCAUGGGGGCCGUUACUCCCAUGCUUUUCUCAUGAUUGUGAGUGAGUUCUAUGAGAUCUGAUGGUUUAUGAGGGGCUUUUCCCCUUUUGCUUGGCACUUUUCCUUGCUGCUGCCAUGUGAAGAGGGAUAUGUUUGCUUCUCCUUCCACCAUGAAUGUAAGUUUCCUGAGGCAUCCCCACCCCUGCAGAACUGUGACUCAAUUAAACCUCUUUCCUUUAUAAAUUACUCAGUCUUGGAUAUGUCUUUAUUAGCAGCAUGAAAAUGAACUAAUACAAAAACACAAGAAUAUUUACAGAGAUAUAAAGCUUGCAACAAGGUAAAAUUCCCAAUCGCUUUGCGUUUAUACUGAGUAAUGGGAUUGCUGGGUCAAAUGGUAUUUCUGGUGCUAGAUCUUUGAGGAAUCACCACACCAUCUUUCACAAUGGUUGAACUAAUUUCCAUUCCCACCAACAAUGUAAAAGCAUUCCUAUUUCUCUGCAACCUUGCCAGCAUCUGCCAGUCACCAUUCUGACCGGGAUGAGAUGUUAACUCAUUGUGGUUUUUAUUUGUAUUUCUCUAAUAAUCAGUGAUGUUGAGCUUUUUUUCAUAUGUUUAUUGGCUACAUGAAUGUCUUCUUUUGAGAAGUGUCUAUUUAUAUCUCUGUCCAUCAACAAUAGACUAGAUAAGGAAAAUGUGGUACAUAUACACCGUGGAAUACUAUGCAGCCAUAAAAAGGAAUGAGAUCAUGUCCUUUGCAGGGACAUGGAUGAAGAUGGAAGCCAUUAUCCUCAGCAAACUAACGCAGGAACAGAAAACCAAACACCGCAUAUUCUCACUUAUAAGUGGGAGCUGACCAAUGAGAACACAUGGACACAGGGAGGGGAACAAUACACACUGGCGCCUGUUGAGGGUUGGGGUGAGAGGAGAGAGAACAUUAUGAAAAACAGCUAAUGCAUGCUGGACUUAAUACUUAGGUGAUGGAUUUAUAGGUGCAGCAAACCACCAUGGCACACAUUUACUUACAUAACAAACCUGCAUAUCCUGCACAUGUACUCCAGAACUAAAAAUAAAAAGAAAAAAACAAAAACAAACAAACAAAAAUUCCCAAUUGUUUACAUCGAAUUAAUAAUUACCAGGCAUGCCAAUUAUCACUAGGGAUAAAGAAAAACAUAAACUAUAAUAGGAAAAAAGCAAUCAACCAAAAUAAACACAGAUCUAGAUACAUGGAAGAAAUAACAGACAAAACAGUGAUUACAACUGUAUUGCUUACAGACAAAAAAGUUAAACAGAG